GGUCCGUUGGUCAAGGGGUUAAGACACCGCCUUUUCACGGCGGUAACCCGGGUUCGAAUCCCGUACGGACUA
rnacentral:tRNA from 1 species